rnacentral:rRNA from 1 species
AGUGAACGCUGGCGGUAGGCCUAACACAUGCAAGUCGAACGGCAGCACAGUAAGAGCUUGCUCUUACGGGUGGCGAGUGGCGGACGGGUGAGGAAUACAUCGGAAUCUACUUUUUCGUGGGGGAUAACGUAGGGAAACUUACGCUAAUACCGCAUACGACCUACGGGUGAAAGCAGGGGAUCUUCGGACCUUGCGCGAUUGAAUGAGCCGAUGUCGGAUUAGCUAGUUGGCGGGGUAAAGGCCCACCAAGGCGACGAUCGGUAGCUGGUGUGAGAGGAUGAUCAGCCACACUGGAGCUGAGACACGGUCCAGACUCCUACGGGAGGCAGCAGUGGGGAAUAUUGGACAAUGGGCGCAAGCCUGAUCCAGCCGUACCGCGUGGGUGAAGGAGGCCUUCGGGUUGUAAAGCCCUUUUGUUGGGAAAGAAAAGCAGCAGGUUAAGACCCCGCUGUUCUGACGGUACCCAAAGAAUAAGCACCGGCUAACUUCGUG